AUACGGAGGGUGCGAGCGUUAAUCGGAAUUACUGGGCGUAAAGCGCGCGUAGGCGGCUACGUAAGUCGGAUGUGAAAGCCCCGGGCUCAACCUGGGAAUUGCAUCCGAAACUGCGUGACUAGAGUAUGUGAGAGGGAAGGGGAAUUCCGGGUGUAGCGGUGAAAUGCGUAGAUAUCCGGAGGAACACCAGUGGCGAAGGCGCCUUCCUGGCACAAUACUGACGCUGAGGUGCGAAAGCGUGGGGAGCGAACAGGAUUAGAUACCCCGGUAGUCC
rnacentral:rRNA from 1 species